UUUUUUGGGUAUAUAUAACCCCCCUUAUAUUAAAGUUAGUGUGCUUUACUCAUAUUGUUUUCUUCCAACAGAGUUUAGGAAUAUGAAAUCUAUGUUGCAACUAUAGAUUAAAUUAAAGGAUCAUUUUGUGCUAAUGACAAGCAUGAAUACUACCUUACAUCUUUUGCCUGCAUCGUUUCCUAUAUAUCCAGUAGACGUUUAGACUGAAAGAUCAAUUUUAAAUUUGAACCCGUGAGAACAGAAUAAAAUUUUGU
rnacentral:lncRNA from 1 species